rnacentral:lncRNA from 1 species
CUAAGAUCAAGACAUUUAUUCAGAAAGAUUCACUCUUCUGAAGUAUUAUUGCAUUAGAGGCAUGGGCUAUGCAAAAAUAAAGAUAUUUCGAGGAAAUAAAAAGGAGCAAGUGCUCGAUAACCUCGCAAAAAAAAUAGACAAGUGUCCGGCAGUAGAAUUAGGGGUACCUCGGUAUCCACUUAAAAAAAGAGAAAAGAGAAGAAAAAAUGGUAGCCCAUGGUCCCUCUAAUAAGCAAUGUGCCAGCAAGAGUUGACAAAGUUUUUAAUUUCCAAAGUCUUUGAUCUAAGAGUAUGACAUUCCUCUCCUCGGAUCCCGUUUUGAUCAGGCAAUAAAUGCAAAGUAAGUAUGCUUAAGAAUUUUUGCAAAUUAAAACAGCCUCAGUGAGAUAUAUAAAAGAUAAAGAGUGAUCUGAGAGAACCUAUGAGGAUAAAAGGUAUGCUAACUUUCUUUUCAAAAAUAUAUACAAACAACUCCAAGUGAUAGGAUUAAGAAGAAAGGAUCUUUACUCUUAACCAUAUACUUCCCUGACUACAGUACACAGUGGAUUUUAACACCC